rnacentral:rRNA from 1 species
GCAAGUCGAACGUGAGUAUUUCAUACUUCGGUAAGGGAUAUGAAAGUGGUGAACGGGUGAGUAACACGUAGGUGACCUACCCCAGAGAAGGGGAUAACCAUUGGAAACGAUGGCUAAUACCCUAUGGUCCUGUUGUUGAUGGAAGAUAACAGGUAAAGGUUCAGGCGCUCUGGGAGGGGCCUGCGGUCGAUUAGGUAGUUGGUGGGGUAAAGGCCUACCAAGCCGAUGAUCGAUAGCUGGUCUGAGAGGACGAUC